rnacentral:misc_RNA from 1 species
GGAAGAAAUCGAACGUUCUGAGAGGUAAUUCUCUCAAUCUCUUUCGGGUCUUCCUAAUUUUGGUAAUCUUCAGACUGUUUUGCAGAACCAAGAAUUAAAAAUCCAGACCAUGGAAUGAUGGGCUUUAAUUUGUAUGUGCAUGAAUACGAUGCACUAUAAAUAUAGCAAUCAGAUAAUCUAUUCAAGAUUAAAUAUUUCAAGAAGAGUCUCAGCUCUAUAUAAGUCACGCUAUUGUUUGAAGAUAGAUUUGAUUAUCUACCCCAUUUUGACUCCUUGAUUAUGGGUUUAUGUGUUAGAAUGCUACUCUUCAAGGAUGUGCAAUUUAAUUUGGUUUUAC